CCCGGUUUAUCCUACCUGUUGUCAUAUGCUUGCCUCAAAGAUUCAGCCGUGCAUGUGUAAUUAUGAACAAAUUCAGACUAUGAAACUAUAAAUGGCUCAUUGAAUCAGUUAUAGUUUGUUUGAUGGUAUCUACUACUCGGAUAAUGGUAGUAAUUCUAGAUCUAAUACAUGCAACAAACCCCGAAUUUUGGAAGGGAUGCAUUUAUUAGAUAAAAGGUCGACGCGAGCUCUACCCAUUGCAGCGAUGAUUCAUGAUAACUCGAUGUAUUGCAUGGUCAUCAUGCCGGGGAAGCAUCAUUAAAAUUUCUGCCCUAUAAACUUUUGAUGGUAGGAUAGUGGCCUACCAUGGUGGUGAAAGGUUAUGGAGAAUUAGGGUUCGAUUCCGGAUAGGGAGCUGGAGAAACGGCUACCACAUCCAAUGAAGGUAGCAGGAGCGCAAAUUACCCAAUCCUGACACGGGGAGGUAGUGACAAUAAAUAACAAUACCGGGMUCUAUGAGUCUGGUAAUUGGAAUGAGUACAAUCUAAAUCUCUUAACGAGGAUCCAUUGGAGGGCAAGUCUGGUGCCAGCAGCSGCGGUAAUUCCAGGUCCAGUAUCGUAUAUUUAUGUUGUUGCAGUUAAAAAACUCGUAGUUGGACUUUGGAUGGGCCGUCCUGUCCGCCCUAGGUGUGCACCAGACAUCUCAUCCCUUUAGUUGGCGAUGCACUCUUGGCCUUAAUUGGUCGGGUCGUGCCUCCGACGCUGUUACUUUGAAGAAAUUAGAGUGCUCAAAGCAWGCCUACGCUCUGUAUACAUUAGCAUGGGAUAACAKUAUAGGAUUUCGGUCCUAUUACAUUGGCCUUCGGGAUCGGAAUAAUGAUUAAAAGGAACAGUUGGGGGCAUUCGUAUUUCAUAGUCAGAGGUGAAAUUCUUGGAUUUAUGAAAGACGAACAACUGCGAAAKCAUUUGCCAAGGAUGUUUUCAUUAAUAAGGAACGAAAGUUGGUGGCUCGAAGACGAUCAGAUAUCAUCCUAAUCUCAACCAUAAACGAUGACGACCACGGGUCGACAAAUGUUUCUUUUAGGACUUCGCCGGCACCUUAUUACAAAACAAUGUUUUUGGGUUUUGGGGGGAGUAUGGUUGCAACACUGAAACUUAAAGGAAUAGACGUAAUGGCACCACCAGGAGUGGAGCCUACGACUUAAUUUGACUCAACAAGGGAAAACUUACCAGGUCCAGACAUAGUAAGGAUUGACAGAUUGAAAGCUCUUUCUUGAAUUUGUAGGUGGUGGUGUAUGGCCAUUCUUAGUAGGUGGAGCGAUUUGCUUGGUUAAUUUCGUUAACGAACGAGACCUCAGCCUGCUAACUAGGUAUACAGAGGCAUCCUUUUGUGGCUAGCUUCUUGGAGGGACUACGCCUUUUAGGCCGUGGAAGUUUGAGGCAAUAACARGUCUGUGAUGCCCUUAGAUGUUCUGGGUCGAACGCAAGCUAUGCUGAUGUAUUCAACGAUCUUAUAGGCUUGGCCGACAUGCCCGGGUAAUGUUUGAAAUUUCAUUGUAAUGGGUAUAGAUCAUUGAAAUCAUUGGUCUUCAACGAGGAAUUCCUAGUAAGCACGAGUCAUUAGCUCGCGUUGACUACAUCCCAGCCCUUGUACACAUCGCCAUCACUCCUACUGAAUGAAUUAUCUGGUGAAAUAUUUGUAUUGAGGCGAUGGGGGCGGUUCGCUGACAGCAAAGUCGCGAGAAGUCCAUUGAACUUUAUCAUUUAGAGGAAGGAGAAGUCGUAACAAGGWUUCCGUAGGUGAACCUACAGAAG
rnacentral:rRNA from 1 species